AUGGCGGCGACUCCUCCCGCCGCCGCCGCCGCCGCGGGCGGGGCGCACCACAGCGUGUUCGUCUACGGGAGCCUGAUGGCGGAGGAGGUGGUCACCGCCAUCCUCAAGCGCGUCCCGGCCUCCUCCCCGGCGCUCCUCACCAACUACCACAGGUUUAACGUCAAGGAUCGUAUUUAUCCAGCAAUCCUACCUGUUGAAAACAAGAAAGUUGCUGGGAAGGUUAUGAUGGGCAUUUCUGAUGCAGAACUCAUUGUCUUGGAUGCAUUUGAGGAUUUUGAGUAUGUAAGGAGAAGAGUUCAGAUAUCACUAACCGAUACAUCAGAGAUAAUGCAUGCUGACACUUAUGUAUGGAGUGAUGCAGAGGAUCCAGAUCUGUAUGGUGAAUGGGAUUUUGAGGAGUGGAAGAGGGUUCACAUGAAGGAUUUCCUAACGAUGACACUUGGAUUCAUGGACGGACUCGAACGGCCCGAACCGAAGACCCGGGUCGAGACCUACCAGUCUUUCAUGCACGAGCACGAACAACCUGAAUCAGGAACCCAGGUCGAGAGUUGA
rnacentral:rRNA from 1 species